rnacentral:rRNA from 1 species
AGAGUUUGAUCCUGGCUCAGGAUGAACGCUGGCGGCGCAUUUAAGACAUGCAAGUCGAACGGAAACAGAUUUGAUGUUUACAUUGAAUCUGUUUUAGUGGCGGACGGGUGAGUAACACGUAGGUAACCUACCAUAGAGUAUGCGAUAACUAGAAGAAAUUUUAGAUAAUAGCAUAUAAGACCACACCAUCACAUGAUGGAGCGGUAAAAGGAGAAAUUCGCUUUAUGAUGGACCUGCGGCUGAUUAGUUAGUUGGAGUGAUAAAAGCACACCAAGACGAUGAUCAGUAGCCGGGCUGAGAGGCUGGCCGGCCACAUUGGGACUGAGAUACGGCCCAGACUCCUACGGGAGGCAGCAGUGGGGAAUAUUGCACAAUGGGGGAAACCCUGAUGCAGCAACGCCGCGUGAGUGAUGACGGUCUUCGGAUUGUAAAGCUCUGUCUUCAGGGACGAUAAUGACGGUACCUGAGGAGGAAGCCACGGCUAACUACGUGCCAGCAGCCGCGGUAAUACGUAGGUGGCAAGCGUUGUCCGGAUUUACUGGGCGUAAAGGGAGCGUANGUGGAUAUUUAAGUGGGAUGUGAAAUACUCGGGCUUAACCUGGGUGCUGCAUUCCAAACUGGAUAUCUAGAGUGCAGGAGAGGAAAGUAGAAUUCCUAGUGUAGCGGUGAAUGCGUAGAGAUUAGGAAGAAUACCAGUGGCGAAGGCGACUUUCUGGACUGUAACUGACACUGAGGCUCGAAAGCGUGGGGAGCAAACAGGAUUAGAUACCCUGGUAGUCCACGCCGUAACGAUGAAUACUAGGUGUAGGGGUUGGUCAUGACUCUGUGC